GGCGAAGCUGAGAACUUAAGCGCCAGUAAACGGCGGUGGUAACUAUAACCAUCCUAAGGUAGCGAAAUUCCUUGUCGGGUAAGUUCCGACCUGCACGAAUGGCGUAACGACUUCUCGACUGUCUCAACCAUAGGCCCGGUGAAAUUGCAUUACGAGUAAAGAUGCUCGUUUCGCGCAGCAGGACGGAAAGACCCCGGGACCUUUACUAUAGCUUGAUAUUGGUGUUCGGUUCGGCUUGUGUAGGAUAGGUGGGAGACUUUGAAGCAGCAACGCCAGUUGUUGUGGAGUCGUCGUUGAAAUACCACUCUGGUCGUGCUGGAUGUCUAACCUGGGUCCGUGAUCCGGAUCAGGGACAGUGUCUGGUGGGUAGUUUAACUGGGGCGGUUGCCUCCUAAAGAGUAACGGAGGCGCCCAAAGGUUCCCUCAGCCUGGUUGGCAAUCAGGUGUUGAGUGUAAGUGCACAAGGGAGCUUGACUGUGAGACCGACGGGUCGAGCAGGGACGAAAGUCGGGACUAGUGAUCCGGCGGUGGCUUGUGGAAGCGCCGUCGCUCAACGGAUAAAAGGUACCCCGGGGAUAACAGGCUGAUCUUCCCCAAGAGUCCAUAUCGACGGGAUGGUUUGGCACCUCGAUGUCGGCUCGUCGCAUCCUGGGGCUGGAGUAGGUCCCAAGGGUUGGGCUGUUCGCCCAUUAAAGCGGUACGCGAGCUGGGUUUAGAACGUCGUGAGACAGUUCGGUCCCUAUCCGCUGUGCGCGUAGGAAUAUUGAGAAGGGCUGUCCCUAGUACGAGAGGACCGGGACGGACGAACCUCUGGUGUGCCAGUUGUUCUGCCAAGGGCAUGGCUGGUUGGCUACGUUCGGGAGGGAUAACCGCUGAAAGCAUCUAAGCGGGAAGCCUGCUUCGAGAUGAAUAUUCCCACCUCCUUGAGAGGGUAAGGCUCCCAGUAGACGACUGGGUUGAUAGGCCGGAUGUGGAAGCCCUGUAAGGGGUGGAGCUGACCGGUACUAAUAGGCCGAGGGCUUGUCCUC
rnacentral:ncRNA from 1 species